rnacentral:lncRNA from 1 species
CAAUACCUGUGUGGAUGUCCCUUUUCAGAUUCACAGCUGACUUGCCCAUACUCUUCUUUACCACUUCCUCUGAAAACCCUUCUGUAGAUGUUGCUUUGUUGUUUCUUUUAUUGAAUAUGAAUAAAUGAGUCUCAGUGUAAGCAUGAGAAGAGGUGUAUUUGUAAACAAUGGCAGCUUAUAAUCAUUUCUUUUGAUGUGUAGGCUUCUUCUAUUCCUUUGCAGUUCCAGUUCAACACCCAAGUAGCUAGUUUACAAAUCAGUGAAUGGAUUUUUUCUGAACAUUUGUUGAACUGGAACAAUGCUAAAGAGAAAGUGCAGCUGAUGGGACAAUGCAACCUUUGAGCUGUUUGUAAGCAAGAAAUCAGCACAUACGACUUUGAAUGAAACAUUUUCUAAUGCUUUUCUGAAAGGCAUUAGAACUUUAUAGAACUUGGUGCAGAUCGCAUAUUAGUGCCCUUUGUUGCUGCCCGUUCACCUUAUUCUCUCAUCUUUGAGCAUCAAGUAUCAUGUGGAUUUACCCACACUGGAAACUGAAUCCAAAUGAGCCUUUUGCUGGCAUCCAAUGUGCGAGAACUGCAAAAAAGAAACAAGUGCUAAGAAGAAAAAGUAUCUGCAGUGGUGAUUCAACAAGACAUCUGAAAGGAAAGGAGGAAACACAGAAGUAAAAGAAAGGGAACCAUGCCUACAGACUGAGAUGGAAGAGAAAGCACUGCCUCCUCUGUGUUACAUAUAUGUGUGAUGGAUACAUUUGAAGCUGUAUUUGUCCCUGCAUGAAGACUGCGUGUGUCACACAAAAAAUGAAGAAACCUUCCCUUGGAUCCACUCCUUCUUACUUCGACCUCGGCCUUUUCUGGUGUGAUUAUGUUGUAAUUACUUCAUGGAGCUUCAGCUUAAUGUGUUUCCAGAGUUUAAUGCAGUAGGAAACAUGUCACUUCAACUAACGUAAUCAAAUAUUACCUAUGAACAGCAAUCAUGAUAUCUCCUUGCUCUUUCCCAUUUUUGACAUGCUUACUUCAUCAAGCUGCUAGUCUGAACAAUUUUCACAAAUCUCCCAAUUUAUCUAGUUAUAACAGUGUGAUUAGGAUAGACAAGUGAUCUGAGACCAUGUAAUCACUGUAAUGAUGCCAUGUUGGAUGACUUCAAGCCUCCACCUCGGUCUCAGAGGUUGACAUUGUCUCCUCAGUUUUUUCGAUCAUCUGUUCCAUAGUUCCCUAUCUGAAUCUAUCAGGGGGGACGAGCAUCCAUUAUUUGACAAAGUCUGUUCUGAAAUAUAAUGCUAAUCAAUUAAAGUCAGUGAUCCAGCUUCAUGUUUAACAUACAUUGGUGAUAUCCUCCUAAACAGGGGUAGGUAGUUCACAAAACCUAGUAUUCUGAGAUACUUUAUAUACUUUUUCUCUUCUGUCCAUUUAAGAAAAAUAAUAACAAGAUGCAGUUCAUUUGAGACUGAGGACAGAAGUUUUGGUUUCAAACUUAAGUAGAGUACCAUCUCAUUCCCCUCCAGUUUAAAUCUUUUGAGAAUAUAGGCUGAGACACAAGUUUUCACUAACCCCUGU